ensembl:lncRNA LOC108351161 uncharacterized LOC108351161
AAUCAAAUUAAAUACAUACAGCCAGCAAACAAAUCGCUAGUGGCUGGCUGGAUGAUUAACCCAUAGAUGGUUGGAAAUGUUGAAGCAAAUCACAGAAAAGGGCCCUCCCCCAGACUAACCAAAAGGGUUAGCUUCCUUGACUUCCUCCUACCAAAAGGGCUCUGUUUAAUUUUCACAUCCCCACAUCUGGUGUCCUUUGAUGAAGUAUGUCGUCUGCUCUUCAAAACUUCCCUGCUGGUAAAAGACCAUGCAUUUAUUUUUAAAUACAUUCAUAAUUUCUGCUCUAUAGGAAUAAACUAUGCCUCUGGGAAAGAUGCGCAUUGCAUGGAUCCACUGCGUGAAGAACAUCUGGAAAGGGCCAGAGAGAACACAUCACAUCAUUCCUGUCAUCCUUGUCAACACUGCCAUCCCCGAUGCUGAUGCGGUCCUCCUCCCUGGGUGUGGUACAGGCAUGCAAUCUUGACGUUCAGGAUGGUGAGGGAGAACUGCUUUCUCCUGACCUCAAUCUUUUCAGCCUCUUAUGUAAGGGCUUGGCUUGAAUGCAGAGUGAAAAGAUGGUCCUGUGCUGUUCUGACUGGUGCGUCGUGUCUCUAAAUAAACAUGCUAAACGAUCAG